ensembl:snRNA U6 U6 spliceosomal RNA
GUGAUCACUUUGGCAGCAUAUUACUAAAAUUGGAAUUACACAGAGAAAAUUAGCAUGGACCCUAUCUAGGCAUGACAUGUAAAUUCAUUAAGUGUUCCAUAUUAGA